UACGUAGGUGGCAAUCGUUGUCCGGAAUUAUUGGGCGUAAAGAGCGCGCAGGUGGUUGAUUAAGUCUGAUGUGAAAGCCCACGGCUUAACCGUGGAGGGUCAUUGGAAACUGGUCAACUUGAGUGCAGAAGAGGGAAGUGGAAUUCCAUGUGUAGCGGUGAAAUGCGUAGAGAUAUGGAGGAACACCAGUGGCGAAGGCGGCUUCCUGGUCUGUAACUGACACUGAGGCGCGAAAGCGUGGGGAGAAAACAGG
rnacentral:rRNA from 1 species